CCAACUGCCAAACCAAUGAACCAUGUUGAUCUUUCUCUUUUAUUAUUACAUUUUAAUUAGUUUAUUAUUAAUUAGUUUUAAUUAUGAUAUUUUCUAAAUUUUUAAAUUUUUUAUCUUAUGAUGAUAACUUGCUAUUAAACAAAAUUUGUUUUUGUUUGUUGAUUUUUACAUGCUAGAUUUUGCCUUACCUUUUAGUUAUGUAUAUAUAACAGAUGAAUGAAAAUUUAAACGGGGUGAUGGGUGGCUCAGGGUCCACGUAAAAUAAAAAAGCGGGUAUGCUACAUUUUCCAACUUGGUUGGACAUGGAUCAAGGAUGGAUCAGGAGUCUUUUUGUUUGUUUUUUUGGUGACCCAAAUCUGCUUCAAUCCGACCCAAAACCAAGCUAAUCCAACCAUUGCCACCCCUACCUCCAAGGUACUACAUGUUUAGAUUUUUUUCCCCAUUAACAGCCCUUGAUGCUCCAACCACAAGUUUUUCUUGCCUUUCUCCAUCUUCCUGUCUCUUCUUCUACAUCCAUUUUAAUCUGCCACCGGCCCUUUGUCCAAUAUCGUCGGCCACCGGCCACUUGCAGUUGACUCCAUAUCCAUCUCUAUCUCCACCCUCUCUGUCUCUACCCUAUAAAUCACACCC
rnacentral:lncRNA from 1 species